GUCUGCCUGGCUCCCUGAAUGCCAUCUGGGAAGCUUGUCAAAUUGGUUGACAUGCCUCCUGGUUGGCAGUUGGGGAGCCAUGCAGGU
rfam:Ananas comosus cultivar MD2 ACMD2_Scaffold_2393, whole genome shotgun sequence.